rnacentral:rRNA from 1 species
UACGAAGGGGGCUAGCGUUGUUCGGAAUUACUGGGCGUAAAGGGCGCGCAGGCGGUCGUUCAAGUCAGGCGUGAAAGCCCCGGGCUCAACCUGGGAACCGCGCUUGAGAUUGGCAUGCUCGAGUUCGGGAGAGGAUGGUGGAAUUCCCAGUGUAGAGGUGAAAUUCGUAGAUAUUGGGAAGAACACCGAUGGCGAAGGGCAGCCAUCUGGACCGACACUGACGCUGAGGCGCGAAAGCGUGGGGAGCAAACAGG